GGGUUACCGGUCGUCUUAUUCUUUGCGCCUCCUCUUCUUCUGCUUCUUCUUCUUCGUCUGUUGAAUAAGCAAAAGUUGCGGCCGACCUGCCCCCACGAGGGCUCCUCUAUUGGCAGUCCCUCCGCUGUUUUCUUCUCCUCCUUCUUUUUCUUUCUCUUCUCGGGGCGGAGACGACUCAGAGAAGGAAAGGGAUCUAUGUCUUCCGCCGCCACUCCACCUGCCCAAGCCACCGACGACGGCGGCGCAGUUCCACUUCCUCCUCCGCCUCCUGCACCACCGAACUAUUGGUGCCACGAGUGCGACAUGAGCGUCGCCCUACUUUCUUAUACUUCUUCUUCCUCCUCCGCCGCCCUUUUCUGCCCCAACUGCCAUGGCGACUUCCUUGAAGUGAUGGACCACCACCACAACAGCCACAGCCAAAACCCUUCCCCCCUUCCUUGCCCUCCUCCUCCGCCUGGCCCCCCAUCCCUGUCCCUUACCCUCUCUGACACCGAUUCAGAUGACAUCGAUGAGGCCGACGCCGACGACCGCCGCCUCGCCUCUGCUGCCUCCGCCCAGUCCUACCUCCGCCGCAUAAUGGAUCACCUUGCCGCGGCCGAUGACCCCCCGCCACCGAUCCCAGCCACCCGCCGUGGCCCUUCUCCAGCCCCGGCCGCCUCCAUCUACGCCCUCCCCACCGUCCGCAUCUCCGAACCCGCCUCCUCCCUCCCAGCGUGCGCCAUCUGCAAGGACGAGUUCCCCCUUGAUUCCACUGCCCGACGGCUUCCCUGCUCCCACCUCUACCACUCCGACUGCAUCGUCCCUUGGCUCUCCCUCCAUAACUCCUGCCCUGUCUGCCGCUCCCGUCUUCCCUCUUCAUCGUCCUCAUCGGACGGGUCCAACGCCCUGAAUCGCCCGACCCAGUUCUCAGCCCAGCUCGAACGCUUGUUGGAGGAGGAUGAUAGCCCGGCUUUGACACUUUUGCGGCAAAUUGGGAGACGGUGGCACAUGGCGGCUUCAGAUCAGCCUUCGGCCUUGGAGACAUCGCCGACACAGAUGGCGCAGCUGGGGGCUGGACCUGCUAACAGUGGGGAGACUGUGUCGUCGGAGUGGCCUGUGGAACUCAGUGAAGCGUCUGUUGGAGGAAGGGUGGAUGAUGAAGGGGACACGAUGAUUUCUGCGAGUAGGGAGAACUACUUUUUUGAUUGACUCAUUGUGGAUUGGCUUCUGCUACUAAGUUCGAAAAUUGAGGUUGUCCACAUUGGUGGUGCUGAGCAGAUGAAUUCUCCAUUAUCCUAUAAGUAGUGCAUUUUUAUGGGGUGUCCUUCUUCAACAACUCCGGAGAGUUACCAUAAGAUCAAAUAUACUGCACUUUUUAUGUACAUAUGAACUGAUUAGUUGUAGCUGUUAGAAAAGUCAGCAUCGACCAACUAUAUCUUACCGUAAUGGUUGUAUAAUUAUGAUUGUUCUGCGUGAUGUUCUUAGCGCAAACAAAAGACCGAUGACAAUGAUUGCCCUGAUCAUUUGUAGUUUUGUACAAUUCUUGGACCUAAUGUUUUAAUCGACAGUGUACAGGUUAUGUUUUUCUCCUC